rnacentral:rRNA from 1 species
AUUGAACGCUGGCGGCAUGCUUUACACAUGCAAGUCGAACGGUAACAGGUUAAGCUGACGAGUGGCGAACGGGUGAGUAAUGCAUCGGAACGUGCCCGCUCGUGGGGGAUAACGCAGCGAAAGCUGCGCUAAUACCGCAUACGAUCUGAGGAUGAAAGCGGGGGACCGUCCGGCCUCGCGCGAUCGGAGCGGCCGAUGUCAGAUUAGGGAGUUGGUGGGGUAAAGGGCCACCAAGCCGACGAUCUGUAGCUGGUCUGAGAGGACGACCAGCCACACUGGGACUGAGACACGGCCCAGACUCCUACGGGAGGCAGCAGUGGGGAAUUUUGGACAAUGGGCGAAAGCCUGAUCCAGCAAUGCCGCGUGCAGGAAGAAGGCCUUCGGGUUGCAAACUGCUUUUGUACGGAGCGAAAAGGUCCUUUCUAAUACAAGGGGCUCAUGACGGUACCGUAAGAAUAAGCACCGGCUAACUACGUGCCAGCCGCCGCAGUAACAC